rnacentral:rRNA from 1 species
UACGUAGGGUCCGAGCGUUGUCCGGAAUUAUUGGGCGUAAAGAGCUCGUAGGCGGCUUGUCACGUCGGGUGUGAAAGACCGGGGCUUAACUCCGGUUCUGCAUUCGAUACGGGCUAGCUAGAGUGUGGUAGGGGAGAUCGGAAUUCCUGGUGUAGCGGUGAAAUGCGCAGAUAUCAGGAGGAACACCGGUGGCGAAGGCGGAUCUCUGGGCCAUUACUGACGCUGAGGAGCGAAAGCGUGGGGAGCGAACAGG